rnacentral:misc_RNA from 1 species
GAUGAAGAACGCAGCGAAAUGCGAUACUUGGUGUGAAUUGCAGAAUCCCGUGAACCAUCGAGUCUUUGAACGCAAGUUGCGCCUCAAGCCAUUAGGUUGAGGGCACGUCUGCCUGGGCGUCACAUAUCGUUGCCUGAUGCCAGUUUCCUCGUGAUGGGUGACUGUGCAGGGCGAAUGAUGGCUUCCCGUGAGCAUUGUUGCCUCAUGGUUGGUUGAAAAUCGAGUGCAUGGUGUCGGGUGUACCAUGAUGGAUGGUGGUUGAGUGAUGAUGCUCGAGACCAAUCAUGGGUAACUCCACCAGAAUUGGGCUCGGUGACCCACAUGCGUCCCUUGGAUGCUCCCUAAGGAGACCUCAGGUCAGGCGGGGCUACCCGCUGAGUUUAAGCAUAUCAAUAAGCGGAGGA